GUAAGUGCUACGUUAGCCGAAGGUAAAGUGCACACUCAUUGUUUGCCUGGUGCUCGUGUUCUCGAUGUUUCUGCGCAGAUACCCGCGAUCCUGAAGGACGGCGAGAGCCCCAGAGCGGUCGUGCUUCACGCCGGGGUUAACGACACCACGCUGCGGCAGACGGAGACGCUCAAGAGGGACUUCAGGAGCCUGAUCGAGACGGUUCGCAGCACGACGCCCGCGGCGACGAUCGUCGUGUCAGGACCACUGCCCACGUAUCGACGAGGACACGAAAGGUUCAGUAGACUUUUUGCUUUAAAUGAAUGGUUGUUGUCAUGGUGUAAAGAACAGAAACUGCUAUUUGUUAAUAACUGGAAUCUUUUCUGGGAGCGUCCUAGACUGUUUCGCGCUGAUGGAUUACACCCCAGCAGAAUUGGAGCGGAGCUUCUCUCUGACAACAUCUCCAGGACACUUCGCUCCAUGUGACUACUGAAAAGACGUAAAGGCAGUCAGCCCAGUGGUGUUUCUGGAGAGGGAUUCCUUCAGAAAUGGAGAAGACAGAAAGCUGCGGAGGCAGAUAUAUGCAGCAGAUUGUUUGAGGAUAACGCUGUAGCUCCAUCAUGCACAAGGACUCACCUCGUUAACUCUUUAUCCCCCGCACACACAGAAAUGGUCCCUGGAUCAGUGAUUAGACUUUGCAGUGGUUUGAUUUUUGCAGAAGAUGUAACUUUGUUUUAAUUAUAAGCUCAUAAUGAAUACAUUACAGAACCAGUGAUGAAAACAAUAGUUAAAAAUAGCGCUCCAUAUUAAAAAUAUAUUGCACACUUGACAUGCAUGUCUUCAUGGUGUU